AAAUCUGUCCGCUAAGAAUGGGAUGCAGACUCUUGCCCCGGCAGCCUGCCGGGUGAGGUUUUACCAUGCAGCUGACAAACCUCCGAUUCAAAGUAAGGAGGCUUUCGCUCAGGAAGUCACUUCAAAGUGCAGAAAGUCAAAAGGAAUAGUCACCAGCUCUUUUUCAGCCCACAGACGGAGGCCCUGGUUGCCUCUGAAAGUCCCUGGCUGUGGAAUUAGAGCGUCCAGCAAGGACCGUCCUCAGACGGGGCCAUGGUCCUACACUCCCCCACGUCCCCGCACCCACUGGUGCCGCUGGGUCCCCUCAGCCCGCCCCUCGCCGACCCCUGGGCCCUUUCUCCUUGUCCAAGUUCUGUCUGCACCACGUGUGAGGCCAGUAAAGAAACGCCCUCUGCUUGUGCUGCCCGGGGGGAGGGGACACACGCUGCCCUGACGCUGGGGAGACGCCUCCUUCUCUGGGUGAGGAAGCUCCAGGUCAAGCUGCUCAUGGCAAGUGCACUGCCUGACAGCCGCCCGGGCCACAGGCCACAGCUUCCCCUCUGGAGCGACAUCACAGCUGCCACCCGCACCCCUCCCCCAUCUGGCCGAAGAGGCAGGGGUGUCUGCCGGUCAGCCAGGCCUCUCUGUGCCCUGCCUGCUGGGGACACUGGGCCUCCGUCCAUGCUGGGGCUCUGGGGCCUCUCAGUCAUCGCAGUAGGUGCGGAACCAGGGAGGGGUGAGGCCCUAGGACUCAGCCUUGGGCAGACGGAGCCCCCGGGUCUUCAUCUCUGUCUGCAGGUGCGUCCUGAGGCCAUGGACACCUCUGCCUGCGCGGUGACCAGAGGUGCGUGGGGGCUUUUUCUCUGAAUUACUGGUCAGGCCUUUGCCCACACGGGGCCAGCGUUUGUUCCCCAUUCAGUGUUCUAUUUGGAAACACUUAUGUAUGUGAAAUCUCCACUGGCUUCUCUGGUUGUGAAGGUUUUCUUUAAAGACGGGAAUGGAUGCCGAAUUUGUGAAAUUCCUUUGGACAUCUGUCAAGGUGACAACCUGGUUUUCCUCCCUCGCUGCCUCGUAUGAAUCGCACCACAGGUUUCUUCCUGCGAAGCAGCCACCACGUCUGGGGUGAAUCCCGCUGGCGCUCUGUGCGUGGGAAUCCCAGGGCCCUUUCUCAUUCUCCUCCAACUCAUCAAUGUUUUCUUGGGUUGUAGU